rnacentral:rRNA from 1 species
AGUGAACGCUGGCGGUAGGCCUAACACAUGCAAGUCGAACGGCAGCACAGUAAGAGCUUGCUCUUACGGGUGGCGAGUGGCGGACGGGUGAGGAAUACAUCGGAAUCUACUUUUUCGUGGGGGAUGACGUAGGGAAACUUACGCUAAUACCGCAUACGACCUACGGGUGAAAGCAGGGGAUCUUCGGACCUUGCGCGAUUGAAUGAGCCGAUGUCGGAUUAGCUAGUUGGCGGGGUAAAGGCCCACCAAGGCGACGAUCCGUAGCUGGUCUGAGAGGGUGAUCAGCCACACUGGAACUGAGACACGGUCCAGACUCCUACGGGAGGCAGCAGUGGGGAAUAUUGGACAAUGGGCGCAAGCCUGAUCCAGCCAUACCGCGUGGGUGAAGAAGGCCUUCGGGUUGUAAAGCCCUUUUGUUGGGAAAGAAAAGCAGCAGGUUAAUACCCCGCUGUUCUGACGGUACCCAAAGAAUAAGCACCGGCUAACUUCGUG